UGCGUAGGUGGCAAGCGUUACUCGGAAUCACUAGGCGUAAAGCGCAGGUAGGCGGUUCGGUAAGUCUCUUGUGAAAGCUCCCGGCUCAACUGGGAGAGGUCAAGGGAAACUACCGGGCUAGAGUGUGGCAGAGGAAGCUGGAAUUCCCGGUGUAGCGGUGAAAUGCGUAGAGAUCGGGAGGAAUACCAACGGCGAAAGCACUCUGCUGGGCCGACACUGACACUGAGAGACGAAAGCUAGGGGAGCGAAUGGG
rnacentral:rRNA from 1 species